ensembl:processed_transcript Gm14023 predicted gene 14023
ACUUCCGCAGCGGUGCCUCUGAGGUGGGAGCUGGUCACAGGAAAGCAGCUUCUAACCUGCUGUAUUGUCUCUAAAACCACUACUUGGUUUUGGUGGUACAUUAUAUGGGUCUCAUGAUGGAGCCCUGGCAGGCUUGGGAUUCACUUGACCGACAAGAAUAGACUUGGAAUCACAAAGAUUCUCCUGCAUCUACUUCCCACCGGGAAGCAAGUUCCCAAGUGACAAGGAAGACUACCAGUAUUCUCAGUCUCUAAUUCAGAUGAGUAUAUGCUAAGUAUGGGGAACUGAAGCCCAGAGAGAUUAAGGAACAUGACUAAGGCGGUGGCAGCUAGCAGAGGUCAUGAGCCAAUGAACCACGGCUGCUUUCUCUCCAACAGAAGACCUUUACAUGACCUUUGCAGUAUGGCCAAGAAAGGAGUCCUUGAAUCAUGGGUUAUGGACUGCAGGUCAUCUUCAGUGAAGGUCUCACUGAAACUCAGCCGUCUCUUCUUCAGAAUCUUCCCGUUGCUUGACGUUGCUGAUACUGUCACCCGGCUCUCCUUGAAGGUGAAGUUGGACAUCUUUGAUGUUUCAGAGGUUCUCAGAGAUACAAACUGAUCUGUGCAAGUCUCAUGAAGUGAGCCAUAGCUUGCAUCAUAGAAGGAUUUCUGUAAGGAGGAAAAGUGGAACCUGAGAAGUUAUCUAUGCCCUUGAGAUGAGAUUCUUCAGUAGGAUCUGUAUCCUGCAGGCUUAGUGAGAGUGGUCCCCAUUGUGCUUCCUCCCUCCCUCCCUCCCUUCCUCCUAAGCAUCCUCCCAAUGUCCUUCCUUCCUUCCUUCCUUCCUUCCUUCCUUCCUUCCUUCCUUCCUUCCUUCCUUCCUUCCUUCCUNNNNNNNNNNNNNNNNNNNNNNNNNNNNNNNNNNNNNUUUAGGCUCAAAAAUAAAGCAUUUUAAUGAAAUAGAUUAAUAAGCAAUCUUGGUAAGUUAGAUCCUUCUAUUAAGAGGACUAACAUCUACUUGAGAGUGCUCAAAAUAUUUUAGAAAAUACAUUUGGCCCUCUGUUUUGCCUGCCUGCAUCCUCAGAUUCAACCAAUAUUAAGAUUCAAAAUAUUUUCUAGAAAUAAAUGACAUCUAUACUGAACAUGUGCAUUUUUAUUUUCUAAAUAAUCUAAUCAUUACUUCAUAUGCAUAAGAAUUAUUUCCAUAGCAUCUGUGUUGUGGCAGGUAUUGUUAGGUCACCUAGAUAUGAUUUAAAGUCAUUUGAGAAUGCAUAUAUGCUUGGGACUUAAACAUCUGAUUCUAAGCUCCCAUGGAUGCCUUUAGUAUGGCUGUUCUUCUGGAAGUAGCUUUUAAAGCUAGUAUUGCAGAUACACAAAAUGACAUAACUUGGUGAGUGUGUGCAACAUAUUUACUUUCUCUUGGCUAGGCUCCUCAACCUCAGUUCUGUGGGCUAUCUGGUUAUCUCUAGCCUCUAGUCUCUUAGGAGACAGACCCCAGGUGAGGUGGGCUGAAGCAACUGGCUAGGGAGGACAAAAUUAACAUUUUGAAGAAACCUAGCCCUGUUCUUAGGGCUUCAGAUAGUUCUCUGUUAUGAAAGAGCCAAUGAACAUGAAGAAUGCCAUUUAACUACUAGUAUGAAGAACCAAGUGAUCUCAUUUAUAAAGAGUAAAUGUAUUUAUAUCUCUAGUGAGGGUGAGACAUAAGUAUGUACUACUCAGUUCUCAUUGUGCUUUUCUGGUAGGUGAACUAGUGUGG